UACAAGAAACCAAAAGAAAACACCACACGGCUUCUUCUUCCUCUUUCGUAUUCUUCCUCUCUCACAGCACUCGUUGGAAAACAAAUCAGCCGCCGCGUCGGGAAUCACUCCAUGGUGCCGGCGGCGGCGAUCUAUGUUCGACCACCCAAAAUUGGACACCUUCCCUACUAAUUACUAUCUUCUAAACCCAAAUAUGGCAUUGGAUUCUCCUAAUUUCAAGCCUAAACCCUUCAAAUCAGACUAAACUUUGAACCCUAAAUUUCAACAAAAUCCUAAAUCGGACACUAUUCUUGAAGCUAAUUACCAAAUCAUAUUGGAUCUACGAUUAUACAUACAGUUACACACUACAUGGCAUGAAAAAAAAACGUGAAGAGAAUGAUUCGAAGUACCUGGUUCGACGGCGCCGGCGAGCCCCUUCGAUUCAAAUUCAACUUGGAGUACACAAUGUAAGAACGCUGCUUUGAAGGCUUUGGAACUUGGAACUUCUUAAAUUCAAAGGAUGCGACGAGCUCGGGAAUUCAGAAGGUUGAUGUUCAUAGGACGUCCGUCCAUAUGAGCGUGAGGUCUCUGGUGAAUCAAUUGAAUCCGCAGUCAAUUACAUUUCUUGCAAGCUCCACUGUGACAGGUCUUUUUAGAAGUCUUAUCAAGCCACUCCCAAGAUAGUACGAAGAAGGUCGAAUUUAUGGGCGUGAUCACUCAAGUUUCAUGAAGCCUCAAAGUGCAAAGCUCCAGGCCUUAUAACUGAUGCCGAAUGAAUCUAUCUAUACUGCUUCACAAUUCAAAUAUUUUGCAACUUUAAAUUCUCUUCCUAAUUGCGUCUUUCUUUUUUCACAUGACAGAACCUUCAGAACUCAUUUCUCUGUACUGAGUUUGAGACUUGUGUUUACAAGUUGAAAUUAUAAGCUUCUAAGUACAGCUUCUAUGAAACUUUAAACGGAAUUCUUUUUCUGCUGCUCCCAAAUGCUUUUGAAUCUCAACAAUUUGUGUUGACUAGCUUUAUAUGGAAUGGUGAUAAAACCAUGUGAUAUAUUGUAGAAUCCAUGUAACUUUGUAAUAAUAACAAAAAGUGUGAAAUCAAAUUUAAUUAAAAGUUUCAAUCUCCA